rnacentral:rRNA from 1 species
GGCGGGUUCGCCCGCCGAUUGGACAAUUUAAACCAUUUGCAGUUGCAAUCAGCGUCUGAAAAAACAUAAUAGUUACAACUUUCAACAACGGAUCUCUUGGUUCUGGCAUCGAUGAAGAACGCAGCGAAAUGCGAUAAGUAGUGUGAAUUGCAGAAUUCAGUGAAUCAUCGAAUCUUUGAACGCACAUUGCGCCCCUUGGUAUUCCAUGGGGCAUGCCUGUUCGAGCGUCAUUUGUACCUUCAAGCUCUGCUUGGUGUUGGGUGUUUGUCUCGCCUCUGCGUGUAGACUCGCCUCAAAACAAUUGGCAGCCGGCGUAUUGAUUUCGGAGCGCAGUACAUCUCGCGCUUUGCACUCAGAACGACGACGUCCAAAAGUACAUUUUUACACUCUUGACCUCGGAUCAGGUAGGGAUACCCGCUGAACUUAAGCAUAUCAAUAAGCGGAGGAAAAGAAACCAACAGGGAUUGCCCUAGUAACGGCGAGUGAAGCGGCAACAGCUCAAAUUUGAAAUCUGGCGUCUUUGGCGUCCGAGUUGUAAUUUGCAGAGGGCGCUUUGGCAUUGGCAGCGGUCCAAGUUCCUUGGAACAGGACGUCACAGAGGGUGAGAAUCCCGUAC